rnacentral:rRNA from 1 species
UACGGAGGGUGCAAGCGUUAUCCGGAUUCACUGGGUUUAAAGGGUGCGUAGGUGGGUUGGUAAGUCCGUGGUGAAAUCUCCGAGCUUAACUCGGAAACUGCCGUGGAUACUAUCAAUCUUGAAUACUGUGGAGGUAAGCGGAAUAUGUCAUGUAGCGGUGAAAUGCUUAGAUAUGACAUAGAACACCGAUAGCGGAGGCAGCUUGCUACACAGUCAUUGACACUGAGGCACGAAAAGCGUGGGGAUCGAAACAAGG